AAGGGGAAGGUUCACUAGAGCCCUGAAAGAGUAUCGGUCGCUGCUUUACAUCACCCGCUGGUCGGCUGGUGUUUGGUCAGGCUCCUCUGUUGGCGUGACUGAAGAGUGUGCAGUCUGCAACAUCUAAAGCCAAGCUUCGUCUCCAAUCUCCAGUGUCCCGCAGCGCCCCAGGUGUUACAACAAAGAGCUAAAGCAUCCAGCUGCAUGGAGAAACUAGUUAACCAUAAAACCAUGCUCUUCUCCAG
rnacentral:lncRNA from 1 species